UUAAUUAAUUAAAAUGAACCUGAUUUUUGUGAGCUGAUGAAAGAGGCUCCAAUUUGAGCGAGUUUGUCACUUAGCGGUGUUGACCGAAGAGUCUGUUGUCGAAGCUUUGACGUCUUGAGAGCAAGUCACCUUCUUCAAAUGCUGAGGCAGUGGGACCCGUGGGCUUUAAUCUUGAAUUUGAACAGGUAGGUCACAAGUAGGCCUUGAAGAUGAUCAAAGUGGGUAGUACACGUGCUAGGAGUAGGCUAUGACACGUGAUAGGAGUAGGGUCACAAGACUAUGAACAAGUCUAAGUCCGGCUUAUGGGGGUUGGUUGUAUAGAUUGGAUGUAGGACCCAAAAACAAAAGGAUGUAGCCUUAACAAAUUAAAAAGGAAGAGAUGUGACAAGACUUGAGGAGGCUAUAAUAUAUGCUAGAUGGACGUGGACAUGUGGAUGUAGGUAUAGGCUUUGUAGAUGUAGCAAAGAGCUAGGCUUGUAGAUGUAGGCCUGAAGUGGACUUGAUGUAGGACUGAACAAUAUGGAUGUAGGCCGGCAAAAAAAUUAUGAAAUGAUACUUAUUUGAAGCAAUACCCAGUAAACAAUAGACAGCCCAUAGGAACAGAUGCUUCUUCUUCAACCGAAUUGUUCUUCUUUAACAGAGAGCUUCUUCUUCAAGGAGUUGGAGAGAGAGAGUCUUCUUUGUUGAAAAAAAUAGCAGGAUUCCGAGAUGAUGAAGAACCUUAAGUUCUGAUACCAGUCUUUGAACACAGAGAAGAAGAGAAAAACAAUGGAUUUCUUUGAGGGGCUCCGGUAAUGGGAUUUGGAAAAAAUGGAAACUGGCUCAAAUAUUAUGCAGGAUGCAUUAGCAAUGUCAAGAUCUAUGGACGGCUGUGUAGACUAGCAACAACUUUAUUGGGAAGCUCAACUACAAAGGCUAUACUUUUAAUUUCAGAAUGCAAAACACGGUCACUGACAAAUCAUAUACCGAACCUGACAUCCUUAAGAAAUGUUCCCAUAAUCUCCAUCAAAGAUAACAAAGGAGGCUCCAUAAGGUUAGGUGAAUUGGUGAACCUAAAAAAUAGCUAUGACUAUUAGAGUAAAGCUCGGAGGAAGCAAUAUCAACACAACAGUAAACAAACAUAUAUGAUGCUCUUGUUAGUGUAGAUGGGGAAGUCACAUGUCCGCCGCGUAGCUGGUGUAAUUUAUCAUAAUUUGAUUCUUGCAUAGGCAAGAGGAAAUAUGUGUGUAUUUGUUCAGAAAUCUAGAAAUCAUGGUGUCAAUGUUAAAGAUAUUAAAGCUUUAGUUUUAACAGUUUUACAAAACAAAAAACUAGAGGAGAAAUGUAAGAGAUGGAUUGAGGGUUGUAAUAUUCUCUUAUGAUGCUUUUGUAACUCAAGUCUUUAUGCUAA